rnacentral:lncRNA from 1 species
AGGGAAUGGAGAAACUGCUGCCUGAGCCCGUUCCAGUGGUUCCCAAGCUGUCAUAAGUUGGAUAGAAACUGGUGAAGAUAAGAUUAAGGAGGAGACUGAGCCAAGAGCAAACAGAAGGAAAACUCCCCAAGAGCCAGAACUCAGAGGUGGCAGAAAGCACACUGAACAAUGUUGGGUGAUAGCCACUCCAGCAGCAGCCAGUUUGAGACAGG